GGGUAAAGCUCAGUGGUAAAGCACAUGCUUAGCAUGCACGAGGUCCCGGGUUCAAUCCCCAGUACCUCCA
rnacentral:tRNA from 1 species